CAGUCGCCGCGGUAAUACGUAGGUGGCAAGCGUUGUCCGGAAUUAUUGGGCGUAAAGCGCGCGCAGGCGGAUCAGUCAGUCUGUCUUAAAGGUUCGGGGCUUAACCCCGUGAUGGGAUGGAAACUGCUGAUCUAGAGUAUCGGAGAGGAAAGUGGAAUUCCUAGUGUAGCGGUGAAAUGCGUAGAUAUUAGGAAGAACACCAGUGGCGAAGGCGACUUUCUGGACGAAAACUGACGCUGAGGCGCGAAAGCCAGGGGAGCGAACGGGAUUAGAUACCCGGGUAGUCCCUGUCUCUUAUACC
rnacentral:rRNA from 1 species